UACGUAGGGGGCUAGCGUUGUCCGGAAUCAUUGGACGUAAAGCGCGUGUAGGCGGCCCGGUAAGUCCGCUGUGAAAGUCGGGGGCUCAACCCUCGGAUGCCGGUGGAUACUGUCGGGCUAGAGUGCGGAAGAGGCGAGUGGAAUUCCUGGUGUAGCGGUGAAAUGCGCAGAUAUCAGGAGGAACACCAAUGGCGAAGGCAGCUCGCUGGGACGGUAUUGACGCUGAGACGCGAAAGCGUGGGGAGCAAACAGG
rnacentral:rRNA from 1 species